UACGUAGGGAGCAAGCGUUGUCCGGAAUCAUUGGGCGUAAAGCGCGCGCAGGCGGUCCUUUAAGUCUGAUGUGAAAGCCCACGGCUCAACCGUGGAGGGUCAUUGGAAACUGGGGGACUUGAGUGCAGAAGAGGAAAGCGGAAUUCCACGUGUAGCGGUGAAAUGCGUAGAGAUGUGGAGGAACACCAGUGGCGAAGGCGGCUUUCUGGUCUGUAACUGACGCUGAGGCGCGAAAAGCGUGGGGGAGCAAACAGG
rnacentral:rRNA from 1 species